AGGGUGAGUGGCCCAGUUAUAAGGCAGAUAGCAGAAAGCAGUGAGAAGAUCCCCCCCAUUUGCCCUGUUGGGGUCAGGUUACAUGUUGCCCAGUCAGGGCUGUCAGUCUCAGGGUGACAAACACUGCUCAGCCAGGGAUCAGUUAGGGAAAAGUGAUGCUCACUGACCCCCUGGUCAGACGGCCGACCCCAACGAUCCUAAUGUCUGCUGGAAACCAGGCCUGGCUCCCCCCUGUCCCCGCUUGUUCCCCAUUCUCCCGGGUUUCUUACUUCGCCUCCUUUCCGAUGUCUUUUUGCGCCGAUUGUUUGUCACCUACCAGACAGUCUGCGCAGCCGCACACCCGCAGUCUGGCCCGCGGUGUCGCAGUACGCCUGCGCAGUCCCCACUGCGCCCCCAGUUGCUCAAUCCCAGAAAUGACUCAAAUCAACCACAGACUGUUGGACUGAGCCUGCUGUGUAGGAUCAGCUAAAUUGACAGACUAUCCGGACAUUGGAACCAAAGAAAAAAAAACUUGCACUUGUUCAGUCGUAUCCCGAUGACACAGAGUUCUUUGUCUCCAAUUAAUUAUCUCUGCAGUGUCACCAUUUUCAUGUAAGCAAACUAGGCUUAUCAAUUUAUGUUCACUAAUAUACUACAUUAAAUGAAGCCAACAUGGGCAUUUCAACACACAAGUGUGCAAACUGAAAGGAAAAACACUUUUUUUUAGUUUUAAUGACAUUGUAAGUAAUGAACUAGAAGAGGAAACAGUGUAAUUUCAGUGCACAGAAUUGUUUGUCAUGAAGGAAAAAACAGUUUUAUUUAGAGGCAACAUCAGCAAUGGAAAUGACCUGGGAGUUUGUUUGAAAUUGGAAGAAGCCAUGUUCUUGCUUCCAAAUUUUCUGCAAAGCAAAAGAUAGCAAAAUGCAAUGAAUUUCCUGGUAACCAUCAUUUAUUUCCCGUCUGGCUUACGUAAGGAUCUCCUCUGAGCAUAGAUGUCUAAAAAAGGAUGAAUUUUUCUUGCAGAAACUAAUUGUGGAAGUAGGUGCUCCAGAUAUAGUUUCAGAAUGGGAAGAUUAAUCCUGCCCUCCAUCAAACUUGUCUUUGUGAUUAGCAAUUAUGUCAUAUAUCCAUGUGUUAAUCAACACCCUCAAUCCAUCUGCCUUACUCAUUUGAUUCACUGUAAAAAAAUGUGAUCUAACAUUCCUAACAUUAACUCAACUGCGCAUGCUUUGCUUUCCAGACUAAAUUGGCAUUUCUUCUAUAUUUGUCUGUGCAUCAUCCUCUUUCACACUGCCACUCUGUAUUCCACCCUGCCAAAUUAGUUUAAACCACUAUGAACAGCACCCUACAGAUGCAACCAGUUGGUUUUGUACAGGACCUACCUUCCCCAGAAACAGACCACGUGAAACAGUAAUCCAAAGCCCUCUUUCUCAUACCAACUCUUCAGCCAUGCAUUCAUUUAGUUAUCUGCCUUCUCACUAGCACAUGGCACCAGGAGUAAUCUAGAGAUUACAACCUUUGAGAUCCUGCUUUUCAAGCUGCUGCCUAGCUCCCUAAAUUCUUGCUGCAGGGCCUCAUCUUUGUUUUUCAAAACUCAAUCAAGCAGCUCAAGAAAGAAACUCGUUGCUCCCCAUGUCUCAGCACUACAUUUAGAAUGAAUUCUGUCCCCACGCUUCUUAAACUUGCUGCCAAUCCUCCCUCAUCCCUGUAUUUGUAAUUAAUUUUACCAUUCUUCUUAAACUUGCUGCGCCCCCAUCUCAGAAAUGUGUUUAGUAUGAAUCCCCUCCUUUCUCCACACUCUUUUAAAACUUGCUGGUGCUCCGCUCUUGGCACUAUGGGAGAAAAGUUGACUGUGCACUGAAGCUGUUCAAUAUAAUCCCAUCUUUCCAUGACAAUGUGAUGGGUAACAUCCACAAUGAUUACACAAUAUUUAACCCUUUGAGAUGCUGAGUAGGGUCAAAUAAAGUUGUAUGAUGGCACUGACACUCUUUAAUAUAUCCUUGCCUUUGCUGCAGUUAAAUGCCUUCAGAUCAUCCACAGAGAGUGUUUACUUAUAUUCCAGAACUGACAGCAAGCUUUGUUUAUCUGACAUCCAAGGCAAAGUUGUGUCACACUGCCAUUAUUCAGCAAUGACAAUGUGAUGUUGAAGGUUAUGAUGAGACUGAACAAUAUAUGCCAGGCAGGAGAAAAGGCCGGACAGUUUCCAACUUCACUGUCUCAUCAUAACCAUUUACUGAAUUUUUCCACCCAGUUUACCUGGUCUUCCAUUUAUCAGUUUAGCUACUACUUUUUACCUAUCUUUAUUAAUGUUUCCAUCUGAGUAUAUCUAUUAUGCUAUCUUUUGUAUAAAUCCCAUUUAUCACCAGGUAUAUGUUUGCAUAUAUUUCUCUUUGUAUUAAUGUAGCUCUAUAUUUCUGACUAGGUCUGAUUUCUAGCUCCCUUUCCAUUUAUCCAGUUCAUCUUUGUGGUACUCUUCGUACCAAAGCUGAAAUCUGAUCACUGAUCUAUGCAGUAGUAAUGUUAUUUCAAUCACCACUAUUCAAAUGUUUCUAAGUGUCUGGGUGGGAGGAGGCAGGACUCUGAAGAAUCUGUGCUACUCUUUGAUCUGAGAGAAAUUAUCUGAUCCCAAAACACAAGAGCCCGAAGCAGUCUUCAGUAUACCUUGAAAAUCAGCGCAAGAAGCCAUCCGUUUGCUUCUGGUUUGUGAAGCUUUCCUCAACUCUUUGAGGUCAAAAGCCAGGAACUUGAAAAGCUACUUAAACAUUGGAAAAAUCUCAGAAGACUUUUCAAGUUUUAAGAAGUCAGAAGUGCCUGUGCUUCCUGUUUCCUUCAGAGAAAUAUCAAUCUGCAGAGUGUGGCGAACAGUAAAAUGGCCAGAAAAUUAUAGAACCAAAGUAUUUAUAAAUGAAAUUUAAGCCGUGAUGCAAGGAAAAAGUUUGGGCAAAACAAGCAAAGGUCUGCUCAAAAUUCACAAGAAUUCCAGCAAGGACACAUAGAACAGCUUCUGUACCACUUAACAUUUAUUGACCUUUUGUCUGAAGUUUGAAAGACACUAAUGUGACAUGAGGUGCAUUUGAGAAUUUCAAGCUAGGAAUAUCGGCAUUACCAACAUUUACAUAAUUUUUGACAGUAAAUUGCCAUAAAGGGUGGUAAACUUUUCUG